CAGUCGCCACGGUAAUACGAAGGGGGCUAGCGUUGUUCGGAAUCACUGGGCGUAAAGGGUGCGUAGGCGGAUUCUUAAGUCAGGGGUGAAAUCCCGAGGCUCAACCUCGGAACUGCCUUUGAUACUGGGGAUCUUGAGUCCGGAAGAGGUGAGUGGAACUGCGAGUGUAGAGGUGAAAUUCGUAGAUAUUCGCAAGAACACCGGUGGCGAAGGCGGCUCACUGGUCCGGAACUGACGCUGAGGCACGACAGCGUGGGGAGCAAACAGGAUUAGAUACCCCGGUAGUCCCUGUCUCUGAUAA
rnacentral:rRNA from 1 species